rnacentral:rRNA from 1 species
GCCCUAGUAACGGCGAGUGAAGCGGCAACAGCUCAAAUUUGAAAUCUGGCGCAAGCCCGAGUUGUAAUUUGUAGAGGAUGCUUCUAGGUAGCGACCGGUCUAAGUUCCUUGGAACAGGACGUCAUAGAGGGUGAGAAUCCCGUAUGUGACCGGCCCGCACCUUCUACGUAGCUCCUUCGACGAGUCGAGUUGUUUGGGAAUGCAGCUCUAAAUGGGAGGUAAAUUUCUUCUAAAGCUAAAUACCGGCCAGAGACCGAUAGCGCACAAGUAGAGUGAUCGAAAGAUGAAAAGCACUUUGGAAAGAGAGUUAAAAAGCACGUGAAAUUGUUGAAAGGGAAGCGCUCACAACCAGACUUCUGGGCGGUGUUCCGCCGGUCUUCUGACCGGUCUACUCGCCGUCCCGAGGCCAACAUCAUCUGGGACCGCCGGAUAAGACCUCAGGAAUGUAGCUUCCCUCGGGAAGUGUUAUAGCCUGUGGUGAUGCGGCGCGUCUCGGGUGAGGUCCGCGCUUCGGCAAGGAUGUUGGCGUAAUGGUUGUCAGCGGCCCGUCUUGAAACACGGACCAAGGAGUCUAACAUCUAUGCGAGUGUUCGGGUGUCAAACCCCUACGCGGAAUGAAAGUGAACGGAGGUGGGAAGCGCAAGCUGCACCAUCGACCGAUCCUGAUGUCCUCGGAUGGAUUUGAGUAAGAGCAUAGCUGUUGGGACCCGAAAGAUGGUGAACUAUGCCUGAAUAGGGUGAAGCCAGAGGAAACUCUGGUGGAGGCUCGCAGCGGUUCUGACGUGCAAAUCGAUCGUCAAAUUUGGGUAUAGGGGCGAAAGACUAAUCGAACCAU